UGGGGAAUAUUGGACAAUGGGCGCAAGCCUGAUCCAGCCUUGCCGCGUGAGUGAUGAAGGCCCUAGGGUUGUAAAGCUUUUUCACCGGUGAAGAUAAUGACGGUAACCGGAGAAGAAGCCCCGGCUAACUUCGUGCCCGCAGCCGCGGUAAUACGAAGGGGGCUAGCGUUGUUCGGAUUUACUGGGCGUAAAGCGCACGUAGGCGGACUAUUAAGUCAGGGGUGAAAUCCCGGGGCUCAACCCCGGAACUGCCUUUGAUACUGGUAGUCUUGAGUUCGAGAGAGGUGAGUGGAAUUCCGAGUGUAGAGGUGAAAUUCGUAGAUAUUCGGAGGAACACCAGUGGCGAAGGCGGCUCACUGGCUCGAUACUGACGCUGAGGUGCGAAAGCGUGGGGAGCAAACAGG
rnacentral:rRNA from 1 species